rnacentral:rRNA from 1 species
UACGUAGGGUGCGAGCGUUGUCCGGAAUUAUUGGGCGUAAAGAGCUCGUAGGCGGUCUGUCGCGUCGGCUGUGAAAUCUCGGGGCUCAACCCCGAGCCUGCAGUCGAUACGGGCAGACUAGAGUGCUGUAGGGGAGACUGGAAUUCCUGGUGUAGCGGUGAAAUGCGCAGAUAUCAGGAGGAACACCGGUGGCGAAGGCGGGUCUCUGGGCAGUAACUGACGCUGAGGAGCGAAAGCGUGGGGAGCGAACAGG